rnacentral:rRNA from 1 species
UCUACUCGGAUCCUGCGCGUAUAGCCUUAGGACUUNAAGUUGAUCAUGGACUCACGACGCNUGAGACGCUGUUAGUGAUCAAGCCUAACACAUGCAAGUCGAACGGCAGCACAGUGAGAGCUUGCUCUCUGGGUGUGCGAGUGGCGGACGGGUGAAGGAAAUACAUCGGAAUCUACUCUGUCGUGGGGGAUAACGUAGUGGAACACUAUACAGCUAAUACCUGCAUACUGACCUACUGGGUGAAAGCAGUGGUGACCUUCAGGGCCUUGCGCGAUUGAAUGANAGCCUGAUGUCUGGAUUAGACUAGUUGGCGGGGUAAAGUGCCCAACCAANGGCGACGAUCCNGUAGCUUGGUCUGAGAGGAUGAUCAGCCAACCAACUGNGAACUUGAAGGACACGGGUACCAAGAACUCCCUACCAGUGGGAUAGNAGGCAUGGCACGGUUGNGGGGGAAAAUUAUUUUGGNGGAUUAAAAUUGGGGGCCUGCCAAAUGGCCACCUUUGGAANUUCCACCAAAGAGCACAAACUUAACUCCUGGCCAUNNUUUNGCGGCUUGGAAAACAGGGAACAAUCGUUGGCCCACUUUUUACCACUGUGAGGAGACUUUUGGGUUUCAAAAAGGGCCCCCNCCAUUUUCAUUNUGGGUUAUUANGCGGCGGGCANACACAACUGUGAAAAAUUUCCCCAACUAGGNACUUUUGGGUGNGCACUUUAAAAUUAAUCACCCCGCCCGGAGGGAUUAUUUGGGGGGGGGAAGAUUUGGCAACCCAGUGGGAGUAAUCCCUCCCNGAAAAUAACNUGNGCAGACAAUUAUUCUNAAGGGCACACACACCACGAGGGGUCCUUANAGNGCNACCAUUUUCACUGGUGUUGGACCCCGAAAAGGCACANGUCCACCAGNGA